rnacentral:misc_RNA from 1 species
GGUGGGACGGGCGUGCUUCUGCCUUUCCUCCUUCAUUGCUUUCAGACCCCUUUGGGCAAGCGAGGGCGCACUCGCUUACAGUGAUGGGUCAAGGGCUGAGUGGUGGGGCAGUGCUGGGCACGGCGCUCUCCAUGGCCGCCGCUCCUGCCCGAACGUCUCUGGCAAAUCACGCCUUGAUCAUCGCCGCCGGUGCUAGCAUCGGUUUGGCUCUCGACUUCACCAGCGACUGCCUUGCGAAGGAGGGGAAGAUCAUGAUCCACCGCGACGUGGUGCUGAAUGCGCACGAUGUCCUGCGACAUGUGUACACCUUCUACGCCCCAUGCGAUUCCAACGCAAUGGCGAAGCUGUUCCGUCAGAAACACGAGUGGCUUGUGCUCGAGUCACACGGGCGCAAGUUCUAUACCGUGCAGAAAUGCCCAGGCACCGGCGACGUCGUGAUGGACAUGCGCCUCUCGCUACGCGCUGCGAACGACGUGGGACUCGUGGCUGCCGGACGCCCCACACAGACGGGCGAGAUUCAGCAACAUCGUGCGGACAUGGAAUUCGACAUCCCGAGCGAGGUGCAGGUGGCGUACAUGAUUGCGUGGCUCCGCAAGGAGGACCCUCGCUGGGCCUUUUCAACCGAGAACAGUCGCCAAUUCACCACGCGCGCCCGCUACGCUUUGAACGACUUCUGAAGCGGCUGCGAAGAGGAAACACAAGGACGCUUGCAUUUCAGUGAGGCGAGUGCAUGCAUGACGUACUCACAAUUCUCACUCUUACGGCUAACGCGGGGCCCGUGCCGCGUGGAGCAAGCGAAACAGUAGCGAUGACUUUGAGGCGCACAAGUUUAGUGGAGACCACGAGAUGAAGCGAAGGUAUGCGUCACGCGCGCGUAGCAUGAUUCGCGUCUCACCUCGUUCUCUGAAUGGUUUUCCAUGAACUGCACACGCAGGCUCCACGGCGUUCCCCACGUUCUCUGCUGUGCGUCGCGUUUGCGCUUUCUCCCUUCUUCUGAUUUGAUCCGCCUUCCUCCUGCAAUUUGUCUCUCCUCUCUUGGCCUAACACGGGCACGUCCUUCAACGGGGGUGCCUCGUCUGUCCUCCAUGUUCCAUCCUCCCACCGCACCGGGAAG